rfam:Arenimonas malthae CC-JY-1 contig9, whole genome shotgun sequence.
CCCGCUAUGCGACUAGCGGUAGCCUAGGAAAGCGUGCGUAACCGGCAACGGUUUCGUGCGAAGCCUUUCCGACAAUGAAGCCCCCUGCAUGGCCAGGAGCGCGCAACCCGCGAGGGUGGUGCGUGGAACUGUGAGCAGCACUACGGUUCGGGAG